UACGUAGGGUGCAAGCGUUGUCCGGAAUUAUUGGGCGUAAAGAGCUCGUAGGCGGUCUGUCGCGUCUGCUGUGAAAACUCAGGGCUUAACCCUGAGCUUGCAGUGGGUACGGGCAGACUAGAGUGCGGUAGGGGAGACUGGAAUUCCUGGUGUAGCGGUGAAAUGCGCAGAGAUCCGGAGGAACACCAGCGGCGAAGGCGGCAUCCUGGACUGGUCCUGACACUCAGGAGCGAAAGCGUGGGGAGCGAUCCGG
rnacentral:rRNA from 1 species